rnacentral:lncRNA from 1 species
UAAGAGAUUGAAUGUGUUCAUCUCUUGUGUUGCUAUUUUGAUUUUGAGUGGUGAGAGGAGUGCAUUUAGACACUUGUCUCUAUAUUCUUGUAUACUCAAUCAUAAUAGUAUAUUCCCUUCAACUAAGGUUGUUGAAGGAGGAUUGGAUGUAGGCUUGUAAUAGUCAAACUAGUAUAUAUUGUUUGUUUGUGUGUUGAUCUUUCUCUACUUAGUUGAUUCAUAAUUCUUUGUUUAUUGAUUUCAAGAAGCCAAGAACUUAUAAAGAUUUGAAAAAGAUUAUUAAAAAGGGUUAAUCCAAUUCACCCCACUCCCCUCCCUCUUGGCUUGAGAUAUAAGGUCUUUCUUUUCUAAUAGAAUGGUAAGAACAUGC